AAAAUACAGGCGAAAGACCGAUAGUGAACAAGUACCGUGAGGGAAAGAUGAAAAGCACUUUGGAAAGAGAGUUAAACAGUACGUGAAAUUGUUGAAAGGGAAACGCUUGAAGUCAGUCGCGUCUUCGGAAAUUCAGCCUGGCUUUAAUUGCCUGGCGUAGUUUUCUGUUGGACGGGCCAGCAUCAGUUUCAGCCGCCAGACAAAGAUGGGUAGGAAGGUGGCACCUCCGGGUGUGUUAUAGCCUCCCAUCGUACGUGGCGGCUGGGACUGAGGACCGCAGCACGCUCCUUCAUUGGGGCCGGGGUUCGCCCACGUAACGU
rnacentral:rRNA from 1 species